CUAUGCAGAGAGUGGGUGGGACGGCUCUCUAUGUCACAGCCCAGCCAAAAGAGGAAAUGAAGGGGUGCGGAGGAACAGAAGAUACCAAGUAUGUGCUUAACAAGGACUCCAUUUUAAAACUGCAACACAUAUUAGAAGUGCUUAUUUCCCCCUUAAACUUUAUCUAUCUCAGCCUGUCAGUUCAGCUGACUCCUGUGAUGUCACCAGACGUCCGCUCUUCACUCCAGAACACUGUGUCUCCAUUAGCCGUGCUCCACACUGCAGCUCUGAGCAUUUAAUCAC